rnacentral:tRNA from 1 species
GCGCUCGUAGCUCAACUGGAUAGAGUGACGGACUUCGAAUCCGUAGGUUGCAGGUUCGAUCCCUGCCGGGCGCA